UUCUGCCCUAUGAUUAUUUAAAUGGCUGCAGUAUAUUGACUGUGCAAAGGUAGCAUAAUAAUUAGUUGCUUAAUUGGCAACUUGAAUGAAUGAAUAUAUGAGGACAAGUUUUUAUUAAUAGAAUUUUUAUAAUUUUAUUUGUUAGUAAAAAAGCUAAUUUUUUUUUUAGGGACGAAAAGACCCUAUAGAACUUUAUUUAUAUGUGUUUUUGCUUUAAUUUUUAGAAAUUUUUAGGUUUAUUUAUAUUAUAUACUUGGUUGGGGUGGUAAAUAAAUUUAACUUUAUUUUUUUUAUUCAUUAAUUUAUGUAUUUUUGAUCCAAAUUAUAGAUUAAAAGUUUCAGUUACCUUAGGGAUAACAGCGUAAUUUUAAUGGGAAGUUCAUAUUUAUAUUAAAGUUUGCGACCUCGAUGUUGAAUUAAGAUUAAUUAAGGGGGUAG
rnacentral:rRNA from 1 species